AGGCGGUGUGGAGCAUUCUGUUACUCAAAAGGUAACGGAACUCCUGCAAGGCCACAUCGUUGAAUUGACCGGUAAAUAAUACAAUCUAUUAAACAUUAUACUUACAAGCAAAAGUGCUUUGCCUUCAUGAGUGAUGUGUUCUAAUACUCACCGUUACAAUAACGAAGUGAGUGCCGUGGCUGUUCGCAAGACGAAACGGUUCAGUAACUAGUAGCGCAAGUUAGAUGUUAGCUGCAUCUUACCUAAGUGAAACGUGCCGAGAUACUUAUGAAGUAAUAAUAUGAACAUGAACGAUACGUUAGGGAUAGCGUGGAAACGUUGCGAAAUCAUAAUGCAAUUAAAGGCGUUCGAGCUGUGGCUAUAUUCUCAAGCC
rfam:Weissella paramesenteroides ATCC 33313 genomic scaffold SCAFFOLD9, whole genome shotgun sequence.